AACGAACGCUAGCGGCAGGCCUAACACAUGCAAGUCGAACGGUACCUUCGGGUCUAGUGGCGGACGGGUGAGUAACGCGUGGGAACGUGCCCUUUGGUUCGGAAUAGCCCCGGGAAACUGGGAGUAAUACCGGAUGUGCUCGAGGGAGGAAAGAUUUAUCGCCAAAGGAUCGGCCCGCGUUGGAGUAGGUAGUUGGUGAGGUAAUGGCUCACCAAGACGACGAUCCAUAGCUGGUUUGAGAGGUUGAUCAGCCACACUGGGACUGAGACACGGCUCAGACUACUACGGGAGGCAGCGGUGGGGAAUCUUAGACAAAGGGGGAAACCCUGAUCUAGCCAUGCCGCGUGAUCGAUGAAGGCCUUAGGGUUGUAAAGAUCUUUCAGUGGGGAAGAUAAUGACUGUACCCACAGAAGAAGCCCCGGCUAACUCCGUGCCAGCCGCCGCGGUAA
rnacentral:rRNA from 1 species